CCUCGCCCGGCCCCGGCCGCGCCGCUGCCGCAGCCCCGCGGCGCCGGGUGCCGUCCCCUCGCCGCGCAGCCCCGGCUCGGCACUGCCCCGCCACAGCCACCGCGGCCCCGCUGCUUUUAGGAGGAGCGCUGCCGAGGCCUAGUGGGGGGGAAAUGAAAGGAAAAGGAGGUUUUAGAGCCGGGAGCCCCCGCGUCCCGGCGGGAGGACCGGGAUCGGGGGGAGCUCGGCGGGCGGCAGGGCGGCCUCCGCCGCGGCGCUUCUCUCCGGCGGGCUCCACCUGCCCGCGGGGGGAGCGGAGCCUGCUCCGGUCCCGGUCUCGGUCCUGGACCCACCGCGCUCGCUCGGCGCCCUGCGGGGCAGCGGCUCCGCGCUCGGGGCCACCCCGGCAGCGGCGCGGGCUCCGCUCCCCGAGGACAAGGUCAAGGAUGAAGGGUCAAUGUCAAGUUGUCUUAACGGUGGAAAGGCGACCGUUCACGGCGGCACUCCCUGCUUCCCGCGUUUCUGGUGUCCUUGAUUGAUUUGAAAGUGCCAUUUUGAGGGGAAAAACGCACCCGGGCGCCGAGGAGACGCGAGGGCUUCGCUUUUCCUUCCCCAGGGCGAAGAAGCGAGGAUGGUUGCAGGGACCCUUGGAGGACUGAAUUCUGCCAGGCGAACCCUCCGAGAGGUAAGGUGCAAUGUCAUGGCUCCCUGAUAAGCACACGUAACCCAUCGGUUGCAGUCUGCACGUCUGUUUUCUGCGUGGACGCCACGGGAAGAUGAUUUUGAAUGUAAACAGGCGUGAGGCAGCUCGGGGAGAUGCGUUAGGGAGGGAACCUGUGGCAGUGACAUCUCCUCCAGCACUGCCCUGCGGGGGGAACCUGCCGCUGGCAACCGGGCAGGGGCCGGAGGGGGCCGGGGCCCGAGUCGGGGCCACCGCCGUCAGAUAGAGCCGGUUCUGCAGGGAUGGACCUACAGCUGAGUGAAGCCAGUAUGACUUCUGCAUCUGGCUCUCCUCUCAGCGUCAGUUGCUUUUUGUGUCGCAAUUUAAUUUUUCUGUACUGAUUUCCCCCCCCACGCUUGUUUGUGAAUAUACAAAGGUGACAAGUGUGAGCUGCCUGCACACCGAGCAGGGAAAGCAACUUUGUUCAAUUUAUCAACUAACCCCCCACUCCCAUUAAAGGCCCGUGUAUUUUUAAAGGCCUCACUGUGAUAAUUCUCGUCCUGAAGUAACAGCGCUUUUCCUUCCUUUUUUUUACAGUUUUGUAAGGAAAAAUAUGAAUUAUAAUUUCCCUCAAAGUUAGCUCUAGAAAUAUAUAUACACACAAAUAUAAUUUAUUUAUUCAAAUAUAGUUGCUUUUCUGCAUAAGGAAGGAAUUUAUAUGCAACACUUCGAUUAUUCAUUCAGAUGGCUUGUAAGUGACUUUAUUUUGUGACUAAUCGCUACUAAAAUCCACAGGCUUUGGUGGUGUUCCCUGUUGCUAAAUUACUGCAAAAUUAGACCUGCAAGUCUUACAACAGUCUCACAUUAUUUUUUGUUGGUUUACAGUUCAGAAUAAAGUUCGCAUCUUCUGUUAAUCACACCACAUAGCAAAAAUAAUUAAGUAGAGGGUAGUUGGAGUGCUGCAGGCCUCCUGCAAGUCAAACUGCCCGGCCAGAAAAUGCCGCGAAGCCUCCUCUACCGCGGGGCUCUGUCAAACGUCUUUGCAGAAAGUAGCUCGUUAGUCCUGAUCGUUUCGUCUCGUGAAUGACGAAGAUAAUCCCCCUAAAACUAAAAGAAUUGUCCCAGUGGGCUCCAGAAUCAUCAGAAAAAAACACUUUCUGGAGGGAGAUCUUAUCGGCGAGCAUUACAAGGAGUAAGAUAAGCAGCUCCCUACUUUGUCUAACACUCUUUGAAGAACACAACACAGCUCGAGUGGCUCGCAGCGAGGGGUUGUGAGAAGGUGAGAAGGGGAAUAGAAACUUUCGUUGUGACUUGAACGUGAACUUCCUGCGACGUGGGGCAUGUGCAGGUUUUCACCUUCUCUUCACGUUCUGGAUCAAAUCCUUCCUGUUUUGAUCUAAUGUAGAUAUCAUUAUUUAAAAUAUGACUGUAAUAGACGUGAACGUCGUGUAACUAAUCUUGACAACAUACCUAUAGCUUCAAUUCGUGCCAGGAAUUAAUUGGCCUUACUCCAGUUGCUAAAACUUGCUUUUCAGCCUUUAUUAUAGUUACUCUCUAGUAAUGUGUGGGUGGAUUUGUUUGUAAUUUAGCAUAGGCUGUACCUGGCAUUGCACCAUACCUUGUACUUAUUACAGAACUGUCUGUAACAUAGAACUGGGAAAAAAAAAACGUGCAGGUGUGAGGGCAAUUAAUUUAUCAUCCCUCCGGUCGUCGGUGGGGAGCUCGAAUUGUUAAGCUAACGUCAGCGGGCAAUAAAACCCUCUUGGCAAGCCCUGCCAACAUAAACUAGAGCAGCAACACGAUAAAAUAUAAAAAACCCAGCUUCUCUGACGCCGUGGUGUUGCAUCGCAAGUGGCGUUUCGGUGUGGCGUCCGCCCGCCCGCCCGGGGACCCGCAACACCGCCGACAGACGCGCAGCUCCGGCGCCCUGGAGCCCGCGCCCCCCAGCAGCGCCCGCAGACAGGCUCUAAGCAAUUCCCAGGGUUUUUCUUUGGGAACGCGGACUCUCCUGAAGGUACAGUUUAACUUUUCAUCCCCCCCUGUCGGCCCUUAGCGUGUGUCCGCGGUCGCUCCCCGCGACAGGCCCCGCCACCGUGGGCGGUCGCGCCGGGCUCCCCCCGCAGCUCUGCCCGGGGCCAGCCCGGCUGCGGCGGCAGGAAGCUCAGAGGGUCCGGGAAAAUCGCCUGUAACUCUAUAAAAACCCAAUAAAAGAACCGUGUUCCCUAAA